AGUGAACGCUGGCGGUAGGCCUAGCACAUGCAAGUCGAACGGCAGCACAGGAGAGCUUGCUCGCUGGGUGGCGAGUGGCGGACGGGUGAGGAAUACAUCGGAAUCUACUCUGUCGUGGGGGAUAACGUAGGGAAACUUACGCUAAUACCGCAUACGACCUACGGGUGAAAGCAGGGGACCUUCGGGCCUUGCGCGAUUGAAUGAGCCGAUGUCGGAUUAGCUAGUUGGCGGGGUAAAGGCCCACCAAGGCGACGCUCCGUAGCUGGUCUGAGAGGAUGAUGAGCCACACUGGAACUGAAACACUAUCGAGACUCCGACGGAGGGCAGCAGUGGGGAAUAUUGGUCAAUGGGCGCAAGCCUGAUCCAGCCAUUCCGCGUGGGUGAAGAAGCACUUCGGCUUGUAAAGCCCUUUUGUUGGGAAAGAAAUCCAGCUGUCUAAUACCGGGUUUGGAUGACGGUACCCAAAGAAUAAGCACCGGAUAACUUCGUGCCAGCAGCCGCCGUAA
rnacentral:rRNA from 1 species